rnacentral:rRNA from 1 species
CGGGGGGGGCAAGCGUUGUUCGGAAUUACUGGGCGUAAAGGGCGCGCAGGCGGCCUGGGGCCAGUCCUACGUGAAAUCCCACAGCUCAACUGUGGAACUGCGUGGGAUACUGCCAGGCUUGAGUCCGGGAGAGGAGAGUGGAAUUCCCAGUGUAGCGGUGAAAUGCGUAGAUAUUGGGAGGAACACCGGUGGCGAAGGCGGCUCUCUGGACCGGUACUGACGCUGAGGCGCGAAAGCUAGGGGAGCAAACGGGAUUAGAUACCCCGGUAGUCCUAGCCGUAAACUUUGAGCACUUGGUGUGGCGGGUAUCGACCCCUGCCGUGCCGAAGCUAACGCAUUAAGUGCUCCGCCUGGGGAGUACGGUCGCAAAGGCUG